rnacentral:lncRNA from 1 species
AUUUAAACAUGUGUAUCUGAUUUAUUUCACUUAACAUUGUGGCCUCAAGGUGCCUUCAUUAAUAAAAAGAAGGUGAUCAAAAGAUGGCUGGUGUGGGGAGGGAAGGGAUAAGGGAAAAAGAAGGCAUUAUUUUAAAGUGUUAUGUACAUGGACCAGUUCCUCACAAUGGAAGUGAACAUUGCAUACUACAAACAUGGACUAGAAAGAAAAACAGAAGUCCUUCACCCCCUAAAGCUUAUUAAUGUCUCCAUUUGGAGGAGAUAGAUAAAAACAAAAGUAAGUAACAGAAAUACUUAGUAUACGAGAUUAGUGGUGAGUGUUACGGAGAAAACAGCAGGAGAAGGGGUAGGGAGUGGAUGAGUGGACACGGAAGGCAUCCUGAAGAGGCCAAGGGUGGGGAGCAACCAGGGGAGGAGCACGUGGGCAGGGAGGAACGGCAGGUGUGAAGGCCCGUGGUGGGAGUGACCUCACAAUCGCAGAGCAAUGACCGGGUUCCCUGAAGCUGGCACAGUGGACAGGGGGACAGAAGUGGGAGACCAGAGAGCAUCGGUGUAGCAUUCUUGUAGAUCCAUGUUUAAGGACUCUGGCUUUCAUUUUGUCAAAAUGGGAGCUACUGGUAGGUUUUGAGCGAAGAAGGGACGUGAUUUGAUUUAUUUUCUACUGGGGUUAAUCUGGUUGUUAUAUGGGAAAUAUGAGUCUCCAAAGAGCGUGCAAGAGCGGAAUGGGGAAACCACUUGCAGGGUUGCUGGAGCAAUUGGACAAGUGGCAAUGCCUGGUGGAGCGAGGGGUGGAGACGGAGGUGCGGUGGUCGGGUUGGAGGUGAAGAUCUGGUGGACAGCAGGGGAGGUGAGAUACGGAAGCCAGAGAGCGAGUCAGGGUCAGAUUGGCUCUUACAGCAGCAACUGCCAUGCUGAGGGCUCCCUGAGGACCCUGCACUGAGCUCUGGCUCUUAAAGACUGAGGACCAAGCUCCAGCACACACACCCUUGACGGACACAUUUCAGCCACAUCCAAACCAGCACCCAGGCUUGCUCUGCAGCCCCACCAGGUCAGUGGCCGGCCCUGCCUUCUCCAGGCGUCUGGCCUCGUCUUGUGCCUGAUCCUGACUUCCUUCCUGCUCCGGGCAAAUGUCUUCGUCUGGCUUCUUCCUCCUGCUCCAGGCCCAGCACCCAGGCAUCCGUGAAGCUCGCACUCUGCAGUUCUCGCUACCCAUCCUGCAGGAGCUCACACGCUUGUAGGAAGCUGACUGGAGAGAUGCAGGCCAUUAGAGGUGUGCACCUGGGAAUCGGAGAGCGGGUUAUCUGCGCCUGCAGCAUUCUGAGAGGCCACCUUUGUCGCUGUGUCUGUCCCUCGCCCCACAGUGGGGACACUGGCCAGAGACCCAAAUCCUGAAUGCUCGGCCACGCAUCUCCAGAUGGCCUGAUGCCCCUGCUGAGGUAAAAACGUGGGAUUUUUAGUUACCGCCUUGCCUGUGAUUUUACAACCAGUGAUGCUGUAAGGGAGAGACCCAUUUCCAGGGGAGCCGUGGAGCCCUCACUUGGUGGGUGAGGACUCACAGCCGCAUUUAAUUUAUGCCUCUUCUGUAGUUCACAACGCGUUUCUCACAGAUGCAGCGUCAGAUGUAGGGUAAUAGAAAAAUAUGCUCCUGCAUUGAAGGUGCCAAAGAGAUCUUUUGGCUACUAAGUUCUUCCCUGAAUGGAAUUGGAAUAUGAAGGAAAUAAGCUCCUUUCCUCUCCUCUUCUGAUUUUACCAAAAAGAGCUACAACUGGGAGUUCUAAGCGGCCCAGGUAGACAUAGACAGUUGGAACACCCUGGCCUUGACGCCUCAGCUGGUUUGAGGCCCUCUGUGACUAACAGCCCCACAUUUGUGACUGAUUAAGGUUUCAGGGCCGGGAUUUAGCUCAGCGGUUCUGCCACCUGCCUCAUAAGCACAAGGUCCAAGUUUGAGCCCUGGUACCAAAAGAAAAUUGGGCCGGGGAUUUAGCUCAGUGGUUCCACAGCCUGCUUCGUAAGGUUAAGGUCCUGAGUUCGAUCCCCGGCACCAAAAAAAAUAAUAAUAAUAAAAAACUAAAAUUUUGUCUUGCCCUGUUUGGAAGCCUAGAGCCACCAUCAUGGGGAGUUAGGAAGCAGUCAGUGCCACUCUUAUUUUCUCCAGAAGCAACAAGGAUCAUCUUUUCGUUUUCUGGGAAUCCAGUGGCAGCCUGUGACAGGAUUCAGAAGCUUCACACUAGAUUAGAAACCUCUUUUCACAGGGAGAGGAGCCAGUGUUGCAAUGCUUACAUAUAUACUUAAAGAGAAGAACAUAGUAGGAAAACAGUCUUUAAAACAAAAUGUAAUUUUAUAGCUGUUUGAGUUUGCUGUUUGCCUUAUGUGAAGGGGUAGAGUAGCCCAUCAGCAGCGUGGAAUUUUAGAUGAGCACAUAAUAUCAUAACUUGGGCAAACCAUUCAACACUGACGCAGAAGGAGGUGGCCAGAGGGAUUUAUGUGAUGCCAAGCGUAACGGUCUGAGUGGCAGGAAGAGCUCUGCAAAAGGGGGACAGGAGCUCAGGCCUGGGCUGUGACUGAGGGAAUGUCCCCAUCUAUUCCGUGGGGACCACGUCUGCUUCACGGUGCUUGGGCUGAGCUUGUUUGGGAGAGCCCAAGGUGGGGUGUUAAUUGAAAAGUAGUAACAUCACAAAAGUUUAUGAGAAAAUUAUUUCAGUUGCCAAACUCAUGAAGAUCCAAUGCAUCUGAGACGCUCAGCUUUCCCUGUAGGGAACCGUUAAGACAAUAUUUGAUAAGAUUCCUUGAGAGUUUAGUUAAGGAGCAAAUCUGCAGUAUUUAAAUUCUGCCAUACACAGGGAGGGUACGAUGACAGUUUG